GGGGGUUGGGGUAUUGGCUUAUUGCACCACAUGUGUUUUUUAUUGAACAAAUUUCUUUGGUGGCGGGAGCAAUCCUACCGCCAGAGGUUAUAACUAAACCAAACUUUUUAUUUACAGUCAAACUUGAUUUAUUAUUACAAUAGUCAAAACUUUCAACAACGGAUCUCUUGGUUCUCGCAUCGAUGAAGAACGCAGCGAAAUGCGAUACGUAAUAUGAAUUGCAGAUAUUCGUGAAUCAUCGAAUCUUUGAACGCACAUUGCGCCCUUUGGUAUUCCAAAGGGCAUGCCUGUUUGAGCGUCAUUUCUCCCUCAAACCCCCGGGUUUGGUGUUGAGCAAUACGCUAGGUUUGUUUGAAAGAAUUUAACGUGGAAACUUAUUUUAAGCGACUUAGGUUUAUCCAAAAACGCUUAUUUUGCUAGUGGCCACCACAAUUUAUUUCAUAACUUUGACCUCAAAUCAGGUAGGACUACCCGCUGAACUUAAGCAUAUCAAUAAGCGGAGGAAAGGAUCAUUACUGAUUUGCUUAAUUGCACCACAUGUGUUUUUUAUUGAACAAAUUUCUUUGGUGGCGGGAGCAAUCCUACCGCCAGAGGUUAUAACUAAACCAAACUUUUUAUUUACAGUCAAACUUGAUUUAUUAUUACAUAGUCAAAACUUUCACAACGGAUCUCUGGGUCCCGCAUCGAUGAAGACGCACGCAAUGCGAUUCCUAAAAUGAAUUGCAGAUUUUCGUGAAACACGAAUCUUUGAACCACCUUGCGCCUCUGAUUAUUCACAGAGCGUCUUGCUGUCAUAUCCCUCCAAUCCCCGGUUGGUGUUGGGCAUACCUUGUUGUUUGAAUUUAACGGGAAACUAUUUUAUGCGACUAGCUUUAUCCAGAUCCUAGUUGGCUGUGCCCAUACUGCUAGCUUGACCCAUCGGUGAUCCAUCAACUGCACGUGGCGG
rnacentral:rRNA from 1 species